GGUGAAAUAUAAUAUCAACAAAAGUCACAGGCGCGACUGGCCCGAAAGUAAUUCUAUAAAGUACACACACAUUAUGUUCAAUAGAUAUGGGAGGAUUCCUGGAUAAGCCGAAAACAGCAAAGCAUAAUGAACAAGGCGAAGGCAAUAAGCUGCUCUUUGGCGUCAGCUCGAUGCAGGGCUGGCGCUGUGAGAUGGAGGACGCGUAUUAUGCUCAAGCCCGUCUAGGCAAUGCAUUGGAGGAGUGGAGCUUUUUUGCGGUAUUUGAUGGCCAUGCGGGCUGCAAAGUAUCGGAGCACUGUGCCAAGCAUUUGCUAGACAGUAUCAUUACCACAGAGGAGUUCAAGAACGGCGACCAUGUGAAGGGUAUACGUACCGGUUUCCUGCGCAUUGACGAGGUGAUGCGACAACUGCCCGAGUUUACCCAAGAGGAAGAGAAGUGCGGCGGCACUACAGCUGUCUGUGCAUUCAUCAGCUCAACGCAGGUGUAUAUAGCCAAUUGCGGGGAUUCGCGUGCGGUGUUGUGUCGCCAGGGCGUUCCGGUGUUUGCCACCCAGGAUCACAAGCCCAUUUUGCCGGAAGAAAAGGAGCGUAUUCACAAUGCUGGCGGCAGUGUAAUGAUAAAGCGUGUCAAUGGAACACUGGCCGUGUCGCGUGCUCUUGGCGACUAUGACUUUAAGAAUGUGAAGGAGAAAGGGCAGUGCGAGCAGUUGGUCUCACCGGAACCGGAAAUCUUUUGCCAAAGCCGCCAGGACACCGACGAGUUCUUAGUACUCGCCUGUGACGGCAUCUGGGAUGUCAUGAGCAACGAGGAUGUAUGCAGUUUCAUAUACUCGAGGCUGAAAGUGACCACCGACCUGGUAAACAUUGCCAAUCAGGUGGUCGACACCUGUUUGCACAAGGGUAGUCGUGAUAACAUGAGCAUCAUAAUAAUUGCUUUCCCCGGAGCACCAAAGCCAACUGAAGAAGCGAAAGAGGCUGAGCGACGGUUGGAGAAACAAAUUGAGAAGAUCGCAAGAGAGGAGAUCGAGAGUAAUCAGAUCACAGAUUAUGUGGAGCUAUUAAAGUGUCUACAAGACAAAGGUGACAUUCUAGGUCUUCCACCCGGCGGCGGAUUGCAGUCCAAAUAUCACGUUAUCGAGCGCACAUUCAAGGAGGUUUUUCCAGAUAGUCCAUGUGAACUGUAUGCAUAUGAUGAGCUAUGAAUUUUUUAAUGCUAAAUAUUGUUCAUUUCUAAAUCAACAACAACAACCAAAACAACCAACCAACCAACAAGAGAACAAAUGAAACUAAAACCUUAAAAUCCGUAUGCUCUAACUAGUCCAACGCAUUAAAUUGCGAAACAGUCAACAAAUGCAACAACAAAAAUAAUUUAACAAUAAUACCAGAAACAACAAAAAAAAAAAACACACACACACAACACACACCACAAAUGUACACUCCACACACACACAUAAAGUACACCAAAACCGUUUUCUACUUUGAUAAAAAA
rnacentral:misc_RNA from 1 species